GCCGGAGUGGUGGAAUGGUAGACGCAGAGGACUCAAAAUCCUCCGGGGGCAACCCCUUGCGAGUUCGAGUCUCGCCUCCGGUACCA
rnacentral:tRNA from 4 species